UGCCAGCCGCCGCGGUAAUACGGAGGGGGCGAGCGUUAUUCGGAAUUACUGGGCGUAAAGGGUGCGUAGGCGGCCCAUCAAGUUAGACGUGAAAGCCCCGGGCUCAACCUGGGAAUUGCGUUCAAUACUGGUGAGCUAGAGUACGAGAGAGGAAAGUGGAAUUCCUAGUGUAGAGGUGAAAUGCGUAGAUAUCAGGAGGAACACCGGUGGCGAAAGCGGAUCACUGGGUCUUUUCUGACGCUGAGGCACGAAAGCUAGGGUAGCGAACAGGAUUAGAUA
rnacentral:rRNA from 1 species